UCUCCCCCAGAGACACUUUAACCGCCUUCCCCCCUCUCUCUGUCUAAACAAACUAGCAACUACCAGUACCACCACCAAACUCACCACCACCACCAAUCUUAAAAAAAAAAACUAAUCUUUUUUUAUUUUUUAUAAGCCUGCUACCACUAAAUCCUUUAUCAUAUAAAAUGUUGUUGCACAUCUGAGAUGAAGGUGCAACCAACUUCUUGAAAUUUUAGCACCAACAUCUAUAAAUUUCUUAAAAACCUUCGCAAGGGCUUUUGAGAUAAACAUUCGAUUUAGAUAUUUUUCCAUAUAUCUUCCGUUUGUUGAACCACCAUCACCAUGUAAAUCAGAUCCAGAUCUGGAUCACAAACAAUAUUUUCCCUUGAACCGGCGAUGACCACCAUAAGCGUCGUCACCAUUCCGAGUCAGCAGAUCUUGAUUGGGGGGGUUUUGGUAGUGAUGUGAAACAUGAUAGUUUCUCUUAAGCUCUCGAUUGGGGGGUUUUGGUGGUGAUGUGAAACAGGAUAGUUUCUCUUAAUAUUAAGAUCUGAGGUUGAGAUCUACAAGGGUUUAUGAAUUGAGGGUUGGGUGGUGGUGGUGGGGUGGUGCUCGUGGUCGUCAGGGGUUAGGGUGGUGGUUGGGGCGGUGGUGGUGGUGUGGUGGAGGUGAUCGAUACAUUUUAGGUUAACAUCUCGAUGGAAGAUUGAAUUCUUAAGUCCAUAAUAAAAAAAAAAUCAUAUAUCUAAAUGAAAAUAAUUGGGCUUAACUAAUUCCAUGGGUUCACAAAGCUUAGAGAAUUAAAAGAAAAGAGAGGAAGUUUGCAAGUGGAAUGCACGGUUACGGAAAAAAAAUAAUAAUAAUAUCUUUUUCAAGUUAGUCAAGGGGGCAUUGAAGGAGGAGCUAUUUUUUGGGACGUGAAUUGAUCGCAAAGGAAAAACGGCAGAUCGAAAGAGAAGGGGGUGGCCCUUAGUUGUUGGGGGACGGAAUUGAAGAAAAAAGAAGGGAUUAUUGCGAGACGUCAUGAAUAUACGCGGUUAAUCUUCUAAGGGUUUCACCCGGUGUAGACUUUGUAAGAAUUCUAGGGUUUCAAUAUUUUGUUUAUGAUUUAAUUUGUGACUAGUUGUAUUUAACCAUUUGAAACUUAUAUCAAUUGUCUUGCAUUUGUAUUGGAUUCAUGAAUUGUCGAAUGAGAUUUACAUGUUCUUGGUAACGAAGUGUAGUGCGGUCCGUUGUCUAUGACGUUGAUAGCUCUUGACACCUAAGCCACGUAAUACUAAAUCCGUUAAUAAUCAAAUGCAACUAAAUUAAGUCUAACGUGUAGAA
rnacentral:lncRNA from 1 species